GAUGAACGCUGGCGGUAUGCCUAACACAUGCAAGUCGUACGAGAGUUUUUAACUCUAGUGGCGGACGGGUGAGUAACACGUGAGAAUUUGCCUUUAGGAGGGGGAUAACAAUUGGAAACGAAUGCUAAUACCCCAUAUGCUUUUGAGUGAAACGGAUUUAUCCGCCUAGAGAGAAGCUCGCGGCUGAUUAGCUUGUUGGUAAGGUAAUGGCUUACCAAGGCGACGAUCAGUAGCUGGUUUGAGAGGACGACCAGCCACACUGGGACUGAGACACGGCCCAGACUCCUACGGGAGGCAGCAGUGGGGAAUUUUGGACAAUGGGCGCAAGCCUGAUCCAGCAAUGCCGCGUGAGUGAAGAAGGCCUUCGGGUUGUAAAGCUCUUUUGUCAGGGAAGAAACAGCAGCUCUAAUACAGUCUGCGAAUGACGGUACCUGAAGAAUAAGCACCGGCUAACUACGUG
rnacentral:rRNA from 1 species